AUUGAACGCUGGCGGCAGGCCUAACACAUGCAAGUCGAACGGUAGCACAGAGAGCUUGCUCUCGGGUGACGAGUGGCGGACGGGUGAGUAAUGUCUGGGAAACUGCCCGAUGGAGGGGGAUAACUACUGGAAACGGUAGCUAAUACCGCAUAACGUCUUCGGACCAAAGUGGGGGACCUUCGGGCCUCACACCAUCGGAUGUGCCCAGAUGGGAUUAGCUAGUAGGUGGGGUAAUGGCUCACCUAGGCGACGAUCCCUAGCUGGUCUGAGAGGAUGACCAGCCACACUGGAACUGAGACACGGUCCAGACUCCUACGGGAGGCAGCAGUGGGGAAUAUUGCACAAUGGGCGCAAGCCUGAUGCAGCCAUGCCGCGUGUAUGAAGAAGGCCUUCGGGUUGUAAAGUACUUUCAGCGGGGAGGAAGGCGAUGUGGUUAAUAACCGCAUCGAUUGACGUUACCCGCAGAAGAAGCACCGGCUAACUCCGUGCCAGCCGCCGCGGUAA
rnacentral:rRNA from 1 species